GACGAACGCUGGCGGCGUGCCUAACACAUGCAAGUCGAGCGAUGAAAUCCCUUCGGGGAUGGAUUAGCGGCGGACGGGUGAGUAACACGUGGGUAACCUGCCUCAAAGUGGGGGAUAGCCUUCCGAAAGGAAGAUUAAUACCGCAUAAUAUUAGAUUUUCGCAUGAAGAACUAAUUAAAGAAGUAAUUCGCUUUGAGAUGGACCCGCGGCGCAUUAGCUAGUUGGUGAGGUAAUGGCUCACCAAGGCGACGAUGCGUAGCCGACCUGAGAGGGUGAUCGGCCACAUUGGAACUGAGACACGGUCCAGACUCCUACGGGAGGCAGCAGUGGGGAAUAUUGCACAAUGGGGGAAACCCUGAUGCAGCAACGCCGCGUGAGUGAUGAAGGUCUUCGGAUUGUAAAGCUCUGUCUUUUGGGACGAUAAUGACGGUACCAAAGGAGGAAGCCACGGCUAACUACGUGCCAGCAGCCGCGGUAAAAC
rnacentral:rRNA from 1 species